CUUACUCUUUACUUCGUUUACUUUUCUACUUACAAAUGUCGAAUACAGUACUCUGUUUUUUUUUUUUAAUUAGUCCUCUUAGUUCUUCUUCUGUUCUUCCCACUUAAGGAGUUCUCUCACUCAAACUUAUCUGUACUUCUCAUUACCCAAGAGGCCAAGACUAGAGAGAAACAAGCAUAAGCAAGAUGGGUUGAAGGGGGAAAACAAAGCAAGCCAUCGGACUGUGUGAGCGUUUUCAAUGUUCUGCUUUGUGAAGUUUAACUGGCCAGAGUGUUUUUUAAUUUGUAGAAUAUUUGUAUUGUUUUUCUUUUUCCUGAUAAAGAUGUAGUAUUAUAUAGAUUGUAUAGGUGUGUAGACGUAAAGGUUUGAAUGUAUAGAUGUAUGUAUAGGGUUGUGAAUACAUAUAUAGAUGUAUGUAUAGGUGUGAAUGUGAAUGUAUAGAUGUAUGUA